rnacentral:rRNA from 1 species
GACGAACGCUGGCGGCGUGCUUAACACAUGCAAGUCGAACGAAGUGGCGAACGGGUGAGUAACGCGUAAUCCACCUGCCCUUCAGAGGGGGACAACAGUUGGAAACGACUGCUAAUACCUCAUACUGAAGGAGGGGAUUGCGUCUGAUUCGCUAGUUGGAGGGGUAACGGCCCAACAAGGCGAUGAUCAGGAGGCGGUCUGGGAGGGUUGACGGCCACAAUGGGAAUGGGACACGGCCCAGACUCCUACGGGAGGCAGCAGUGGGGAAUAUUCCGCAAUGGACGAAAGUCUGACGGAGCAACGCCGCGUGAGUGAUGACGGCCUUCGGGUUGUAAAGCUCUGUUAAUCGGGACGCGGUACCGGAAUAGAAAGCCACGGCUAACUACGUGCCAGCAGCCGCGGUAAUAC